UACGUAGGGUGCGAGCGUUAAUCGGAAUUACUGGGCGUAAAGCGUGCGCAGGCGGUUGUGUAAGUUUGUCGUGAAAUCCCCGGGCUGCAACCUGGGAAUUGGCGUUGGAGACUGCAAGGCUGGAGUCUGGCAGAGGGGGGUAGAAUUCCGACGUGAUAGCAGUGAAAUGCGGUAGAGAGUGUGGAGGAACACCGAUGGCGAAGGCAGCCCCCUGGGAUCAAGACUGGACGCUCAUGACACCGAAAGGCGUGGGGAGCAAACAGG
rnacentral:rRNA from 1 species